UUAAGUGACUAAGCGUACACGGUGGAUGCCCUGGCAGUCAGAGGCGAUGAAGGACGUGCUAAUCUGCGAAAAGCGUCGGUAAGGUGAUAUGAACCGUUAUAACCGGCGAUGUCCGAAUGGGGAAACCCAGUGCAAUUCGUUGCACUAUCGUUAACUGAAUACAUAGGUUAACGAGGCGAACCGGGGGAACUGAAACAUCUAAGUACCCCGAGGAAAAGAAAUCAACCGAGAUUCCCCCAGUAGCGGCGAGCGAACGGGGAGCAGCCCAGAGUCUGAAUCAGCUUGUGUGUUAGUGGAACGGUCUGGAAAGUCCGACGGUACAGGGUGAUAGUCCCGUACACCAAAAUGCACAGGUUGUGAACUCGAAGAGUAGGGCGGGACACGUGGUAUCCUGUCUGAAUAUGGGGGGACCAUCCUCCAAGGCUAAAUACUCCUGACUGACCGAUAGUGAACCAGUACCGUGAGGGAAAGGCGAAAAGAACCCCGGCGAGGGGAGUGAAAAAGAACCUGAAACCGUGUACGUACAAGCAGUGGGAGCACCUUCGGGUGUGACUGCGUACCUUUUGUAUAAUGGGUCAGCGACUUAUAUUCUGUAGCAAGGUUAACCGUAUAGGGGAGCCGCAGGGAAACCGAGUCUUAACUGGGCGUUAAGUUGCAGGGUAUAGACCCGAAACCCGGUGAUCUAGCCAUGGGCAGGUUGAAGGUUGGGUAACACUAACUGGAGGACCGAACCGACUAAUGUUGAAAAAUUAGCGGAUGACUUGUGGCUGGGGGUGAAAGGCCAAUCAAACCGGGAGAUAGCUGGUUCUCCCCGAAAGCUAUUUAGGUAGCGCCUCGUGAACUCAUCUUCGGGGGUAGAGCACUGUUUCGGCUAGGGGGUCAUCCCGACUUACCAACCCGAUGCAAACUACGAAUACCGAAGAAUGUUAUCACGGGAGACACACGGCGGGUGCUAACGUCCGUCGUGAAGAGGGAAACAACCCAGACCGCCAGCUAAGGUCCCAAAGUCAUGGUUAAGUGGGAAACGAUGUGGGAAGGCACAGACAGCCAGGAUGUUGGCUUAGAAGCAGCCAUCAUUUAAAGAAAGCGUAAUAGCUCACUGGUCGAGUCGGCCUGCGCGGAAGAUGUAACGGGGCUAAACCAUGCACCGAAGCUGCGGCAGCGACACUAUGUGUUGUUGGGUAGGGGAGCGUUCUGUAAGCCUGCGAAGGUGACCUGUGAGGGUUGCUGGAGGUAUCAGAAGUGCGAAUGCUGACAUAAGUAACGAUAAAGCGGGUGAAAAGCCCGCUCGCCGGAAGACCAAGGGUUCCUGUCCAACGUUAAUCGGGGCAGGGUGAGUCGACCCCUAAGGCGAGGCCGAAAGGCGUAGUCGAUGGGAAACAGGUUAAUAUUCCUGUACUUGGUGUUACUGCGAAGGGGGGACGGAGAAGGCUAUGUUAGCCGGGCGACGGUUGUCCCGGUUUAAGCAUGUAGGCUGGUUGUCCAGGCAAAUCCGGAUAAUCAAGGCUGAGGUGUGAUGACGAGGCACUACGGUGCUGAAGUAACAAAUGCCCUGCUUCCAGGAAAAGCCUCUAAGCAUCAGGUAACAUCAAAUCGUACCCCAAACCGACACAGGUGGUCAGGUAGAGAAUACCAAGGCGCUUGAGAGAACUCGGGUGAAGGAACUAGGCAAAAUGGUGCCGUAACUUCGGGAGAAGGCACGCUGGUGUGUAGGUGAAGUCCCUGCGGAUGGAGCUGAGACCAGUCGAAGAUACCAGCUGGCUGCAACUGUUUAUUAAAAACACAGCACUGUGCAAACACGAAAGUGGACGUAUACGGUGUGACGCCUGCCCGGUGCCGGAAGGUUAAUUGAUGGGGUUAUCCGUAAGGAGAAGCUCUUGAUCGAAGCCCCGGUAAACGGCGGCCGUAACUAUAACGGUCCUAAGGUAGCGAAAUUCCUUGUCGGGUAAGUUCCGACCUGCACGAAUGGCGUAAUGAUGGCCAGGCUGUCUCCACCCGAGACUCAGUGAAAUUGAACUCGCUGUGAAGAUGCAGUGUACCCGCGGCAAGACGGAAAGACCCCGUGAACCUUUACUAUAGCUUGACACUGAACAUUGAGCCUUGAUGUGUAGGAUAGGUGGGAGGCUUUGAAGCGUGGACGCCAGUCUGCGUGGAGCCAACCUUGAAAUACCACCCUUUAAUGUUUGAUGUUCUAACGUUGGCCCCUUACCGGGGUUGCGGACAGUGUCUGGUGGGUAGUUUGACUGGGGCGGUCUCCUCCCAAAGCGUAACGGAGGAGCACGAAGGUUAGCUAAUCCUGGUCGGACAUCAGGAGGUUAGUGCAAUGGCAUAAGCUAGCUUGACUGCGAGCGUGACGGCGCGAGCAGGUGCGAAAGCAGGUCAUAGUGAUCCGGUGGUUCUGAAUGGAAGGGCCAUCGCUCAACGGAUAAAAGGUACUCCGGGGAUAACAGGCUGAUACCGCCCAAGAGUUCAUAUCGACGGCGGUGUUUGGCACCUCGAUGUCGGCUCAUCACAUCCUGGGGCUGAAGUAGGUCCCAAGGGUAUGGCUGUUCGCCAUUUAAAGUGGUACGCGAGCUGGGUUUAGAACGUCGUGAGACAGUUCGGUCCCUAUCUGCCGUGGGCGCUGGAGAAUUGAGGGGGCUGCUCCUAGUACGAGAGGACCGGAGUGGACGCAUCACUGGUGUUCGGGUUGUCAUGCCAAUGGCACUGCCCGGUAGCUAAAUGCGGAAGAGAUAAGUGCUGAAAGCAUCUAAGCACGAAACUUGCCCCGAGAUGAGUUCUCCCUGAGACUUUAAGUCUCCUGAAGGAACGUUGAAGACGACGACGUUGAUAGGCCGGGUGUGUAAGCGCAGCGAUGCGUUGAGCUAACCGGUACUAAUGAACCGUGAGGCUUAACCUU
rnacentral:rRNA from 1 species